rnacentral:rRNA from 1 species
GGGGACCCCUAUCGGGCUCGGACUAAGCCAUGCGAGUCGGCUGGGGGCCCUUGCCCCUGGCGGCGCACGGCUCAGUAAUACACGGUCAACCUGCCCUGGGGACCGGGAUAACCUCGGGAAACUGAGGCUAAUCCCGGAUAGGGGUGGAUUCCUGGAAUGGGUCCACCCCCAAAGUAGGCGGGGGAAUGGCCCCGCUGAGGCCCCAGGAUGGGACCGUGGCCCAUCAGGUAGUAGGUGGGGUAACGGCCCACCUAGCCUAAGACGGGUGCGGGCGGUGGGAGCCGGAGCCCGGAGACGGGCACUGAGACAAGGGCCUAGGCCCUACGGGGCGCAGCAGGCGCGAAACUUCCCCAAUGCGCGCAAGCGUGAGGGAGUGAGCCCGAGUGCCGCCCGCUGAGGGCGGCUGUUCCCGGGUGUAAACAGCCCGGGGUAGGAAGGGGAGGGUAAGGCUGGUGCCAGCCGCCGCGGUAAAACCAGCUCCUCGAGGGGUCCCCACGCAUACUGGGCCUAAAGCGUCCGUAGCCGGCCCCGUAAGUCCCCGGUUAAAUCCACCGGAAGACCGGUGGGCCGCCGGGGAUACUGCGGGGCUAGGGAGCGGGAGGGGCCGAGGGUAUUCCGGGGGAUAGCGGUAAAAUGCGUAGAUCCCCGGAGGACCACCAGUGGCGAAGGCGCUCGGCUGGAACGCGUCCGACGGUGAGGGACGAAAGCUGGGGGAGCAAACCGGAUUAGAUACCCGGGUAGUCCCAGCCGUAAACGAUGCCGGCUAGGUGCCGGCCGAGGUUUCGGCCUCGGCCGGUGUCGAAGCGAAGGCGUUAAGCCGGCCGCCUGAGGAGUACGGCCGCAAGGCUGAAACUUGAAGGAAUUGACGGGGGGGCACCACAAGGGGUGAAUGCCUGCGGCUC